UACGUAGGGGGCAAGCGUUGUCCGGAUUUAUUGGGCGUAAAGAGCGUGUAGGCGGCUAGAUAGGUCCGUUGUGAAAACUCGAGGCUCAACCUCGAGACGUCGAUGGAAACCAUCUGGCUAGAGUCCGGAAGAGGAGAGUGGAAUUCCUGGUGUAGCGGUGAAAUGCGCAGAUAUCAGGAAGAACACCCGUGGCGAAGGCGGCUCUCUGGGAAUGUACUGACGCUGAGGAGCGAAAGUGUGGGGAGCGAACAGG
rnacentral:rRNA from 1 species